rnacentral:lncRNA from 1 species
AAGUCUGGCUGUUUUCCUUGCCUGGGUCAGAGGUGCACCUUACCAAACCAACACACCCAAUAGACUUUGAUUGCCAUUGAGGACUCUGCUCUAUUAAGGAAUGAAGACUAUCAGAUGAUGAAGAUUCAGCACGGAGCUCAAAGUUGCAGCACAUCCUGCAAGUGACUUUUUUUAUGGAUACAGACAGCCAUAAGACUUAGGUCUUCCAAGAAGCAGACCAGCAGCAAGGUGAGCUAGUGACAUAAAGCUGCAAGACCAAGAUUCAGGACACCUGGGUUCUCUUCCAGUUGCUGUCACUGCCGCACUAAGUUACCUUGAGG